AUCUACAGUCAUACCACCCUGAACAUGCCUGAUCUUGUCUGAUCGCGGAAGCUAAGCAGGGUCGGGCCUGGUUAGUACUUGGAUAGGUGACAAAAAUGGACUCUCAGUCUAGAGGCAGCUGUUAAGU
rnacentral:rRNA from 1 species